rnacentral:rRNA from 1 species
GACGAACGCUGGCGGCGUGCUUAACACAUGCAAGUCGAACGGAAAGGCCCUGCUUGCAGGGUACUCGAGUGGCGAACGGGUGAGUAACACGUGGGUGAUCUGCCCUGCACUUCGGGAUAAGCCUGGGAAACUGGGUCUAAUACCGGAUAGGAGCCAUUUUUAGUGUGAUGGUUGGAAAGUUUUUUUCGGUGUAGGAUGAGCUCGCGGCCUAUCAGCUUGUUGGUGGGGUAAUGGCCUACCAAGGCGGCGACGGGUAGCCGGCCUGAGAGGGUGGACGGCCACAUUGGGACUGAGAUACGGCCCAGACUCCUACGGGAGGCAGCAGUGGGGAAUAUUGCACAAUGGGCGCAAGCCUGAUGCAGCGACGCCGCGUGGGGGAUGACGGCCUUCGGGUUGCAAACUCCUUUCGCUAGGGACGAAGCUUUUUGUGACGGUACCUAGAUAAGAAGCACCGGCUAACUACGUG